rnacentral:rRNA from 1 species
AAAUUAUGCGAUUAAGUUACUAAGGGCAUACGGGGGAUGUCUUGGCAUUAGCAGGCGAUGAAGGGCGUGGCAAUCUGCGAUAAGCCUCGGGUAGCUGAUAAACGAGCUUUGAUCCGGGGAUCCCUGAAUUACCGUAUGGUAAAUACAUAGCCAUACGGGGCAAACGCAAGGAACUGAAACAUCUAAGUACUUGCAGGAAAAGAAAGAAAAAUCGAUUUCCUCAGUAGC